UGAGAGUUUAAGCGAUAUAAGCACCUGCCUUUUAAGCAGGGUGUCCCGCGUUCGAAUCGCGGGUGGGUCAG
rnacentral:tRNA from 1 species